rnacentral:rRNA from 1 species
AGAGUUGAUCAUGGCGUCAGGACGAACGCUGGCGGCGUGCCUAAUACAUGCAAGUCGAACGGCUUUCUAUGGAAGCUUGCUUCCACUGAGAAGAUAGUGGCGAACGGGUGAGGUAACACGUGGGUAACCUGCCCAUAAGAGGGGGAUAACAUCCGGAAACGGGUGCUAAUACCGCAUAGUUUUCUUGAUUGCAUGAUUGAGAAAGGAAAGACGGCCUUUGUGCUGUCGCUUAUGGAUGGACCCGCGGCGUAUUAGUUAGUUGGUGAGGUAACGGCUCACCAAGACGAUGAUACGUAGCCGACCUGAGAGGGUGAUCGGCCACAUUGGGACUGAGAUACGGCCCAGACUCCUACGGGAGGCAGCAGUGGGGAAUAUUGGGCAAUGGACGCCAAGUCUGACCCAGCAACGCCGCGUGAAGGAAGAAGGCUUUCGGGUUGUAAACUUCUUUUAACAGGGAAGAGAAGAAGACGGUACCUGUUGAAUAAGCCACGGCUAACUACGUGCCAGCAGCCGC